UACGUAGGGUGCGAGCGUUAAUCGGAAUUACUGGGCGUAAAGCGUGCGCAGGCGGUUCGCUGUGUCCGAUGUGAAAGCCCCGGGCUUAACCUGGGAAUGGCAUUGGAACUGGCGGGCUUGAGUGCGGCAGAGGGGGGUGGAAUUCCGCGUGUAGCAGUGAAGUGCGUAGAGAUGCGGAGGAACACCGAUGGCGAAGGCAGCCCCCUGGGUCGACACUGACGCUCAGGCACGAAAGCGUGGGGAGCAAACAGG
rnacentral:rRNA from 1 species